rnacentral:rRNA from 1 species
GACGAACGCUGGCGGCGCGCCUAACACAUGCAAGUCGAGCGAGAACCAGGGCUUCGGCCCUGGGGACAGCGGCGAACGGGUGAGUAACACGUGGGUAACCUGCCCUCGGCACCGGGAUAGCCCGGGGAAACCGGAUUAAUACCGGACAGCCUCAUGAGCUCUCGGGCUCGUGAGAAAAGGUGGCUUCGCUUCCGGCUGAGGAUGGGCCCGCGGCCGAUUAGCUUGUUGGUGAGGUAACGGCUCACCAAGGCGAUGAUCGGUAGCUGGUCUGAGAGGACGACCAGCCACACUGGGACUGAGACACGGCCCAGACUCCUACGGGAGGGCAGCAGGUGGGGAAUAUUGGACAAUGGGCGAAAGCCUGAUCCAGCGAUGCCGCGUGUGUGAAGAAGGCCUGCGGGGUUGUAAAGC